GAUGAACGCUGGCGGCGUGCCUAAUACAUGCAAGUCGAGCGAACAGACGAGGAGCUUGCUCCUCUGACGUUAGCGGCGGACGGGUGAGUAACACGUGGAUAACCUACCUAUAAGACUGGGAUAACUUCGGGAAACCGGAGCUAAUACCGGAUAAUAUAUUGAACCGCAUGGUUCAAUAGUGAAAGACGGUUUUGCUGUCAAUUAUAGAUGGAUCCGCGCCGCAUUAGCUAGUUGGUAAGGUAACGGCUUACCAAGGCAACGAUGCGUAGCCGACCUGAGAGGGUCAUCGGCCACACUGGAACUUAGACACGCUCCAGCCUCCUACGGGAGGCAGCAGUAGGGACUCUUCCGCCAUGGGCGAAAGCCUGACGGAGCAACGCCGCGUGAGUGAUGAAGGUCUUCCGAUCGUAAAACUCUGUUAUUAGGGAAGAACAAAUGUCUAAUUAACUAUGCACGUCUUGACGGUACCUAAUCAGAAAGCCACGGCUAACUACGUG
rnacentral:rRNA from 1 species